rnacentral:rRNA from 1 species
UACGUAGGGGGCAAGCGUUGUCCGGAAUCAUUGGGCGUAAAGCGCGCGUAGGCGGCCCGGUAAGUCCGCUCUGAAAGUCCAAGGCUCAACCGUGGGAUGCGGGUGGAUACUGCCGGGCUAGAGUCCGGAAGAGGCGAGUGGAAUUCCUGGUGUAGCGGUGGAAUGCGCAGAUAUCAGGAGGAACACCGAUAGCGAAGGCAGCUCGCUGGGACGGUACUGACGCUAAGGCGCGAAAGCGUGGGGAGCGAACAGG